CUGCGUGUGCGAGGCCAGGGAGGGAGGUGAGAGGCGGCCUCUCGGACACACUCUGCCAUGGGCCGGAAGCAGGAGGCACCCUCUUUGUGAUGAUCUCUGAGAGCUAAGGAGAGACUCCAGCACCACCCUUUCUCCUGGUGCCCUGUCCAUAACUAAGUGUCCAGAAGUCUCCUCCACAGGCAUUUUCUCUGCUCAUUCUCCUAGUAAUCCUGUGAAGGAGACGUGUUCUCCAUUCUAUAGGAGAGGACUCUGAGGUUCAGAAAACUCAAGUCAGAGAAAGCAUGAGGUUGGACUUCGCUUCUUGGCCCGGGUCGGACUGUAGGCUGCUGCUGGAGCUGUGCGGCUUUGGGUAGGUGGCCUGGGCACUAUGUGUUCACCAAACGCACUUCCCUUCCAUCCUGGGUGCAAGGCGACCUCCGAUCCCAGCCUUUCCUGUUGGGCUCAGCAAUGGAAACAAGCAGUGGGGCCCUGCGCUCCAUGCAGGGUGGAUCUAGAACCUUCCGAGGACUUGAAACCCUCAGAGGGGGACAGGGUGGGGAGACACAGAGAAGGCCCAGGAAUGACCUUGUGGGAAGUCGCUUAUCCACCAGGAACUCUGGUGCUGAACUUUUUCUAAGCGAAAGUUAACUUCUGUUGGAUUAAGACCCUGAAGAUUGGGCUUUAACACCUGUUGUGUUACCUGCACUCAAACAAACCAGGGCUCCUUACUCAGCCCUCGGGAGCCUUGGCAUUCUCACCUCUAAAGCAGGAGGAGUCGUGAUACCUGCCUUGAGGAAUUUGAGCAAAGUUAAACGACCUGAACUAUUUGGGCGUUUCUUGACCAAUGUCCGACCUUGGGAGGUGCUGGAUGAAUUUUUAUUUCUCUACUUUAAGUCAGCCUUUCUACCUUGUUGCUCUUCUCAGCUGCCUUUCUCUGAGCCUCCUUCAUCACUCUGUUCAUUUCUGUGAGACAAAGAUCAUUACAACUGCCUUAAUAUUUCGGUGCAAGACGCACCGUGACCUGACAUUGCUCUACCCCGCCUCCUGCCACGAUCAUUCUUUUGUAGCAAUAUUCCGCCAGCUUCAUUUCAUGCAGUGAGUGGAACAAGAGUCAGAACACCAGGGCGGCUGAGCCUAUCGAUCAAGCCUCCACCUAAUGACAGACAUACUUGAGUCCCACAGUCAUAAGGAGGAUGAAGUCUCUCUCUGGCUGGACCUGGACUGCAGUCACACUCUAAGAGCUCCUCUUUCUACACCUCUGCCAGUGGGCGUUCGGUCAGAGACAAGCUAUGGCACCGGCUCCCGGACGCACGGGAGGACUCCUACCAGGGACAGAGUCCGCACAGGUGACCUGAGUGGCUGUGCACAGCCUUUGCUUCUGAGACGUGCCGGGAGCAGGUACCAGAGCAAUGAGGAAGCAGGACCCAGACCCCUGACUCCUAACUCCAGGUGAAGUCCACCCUGAGCUCAGGAGCAGAGCUGCCUCCAUCGGGUGUGGAGAGACAGAGCCUCCUCCCCAGCCAUGCCUCCUCAUCGGCCCACGGGAGCUGCUGUGACUCUGACCCCUGUACCUGGCUCUGUCGACCGGAAUAGUCAGUGGGCAGCCAGCACACCUUUGGGUGCUCUGUAUGAGUGGGAUUUUCUCCUGAUUAGACAUUUUAAAAGAUUGUCAACAAAAAGAACAAA
rnacentral:lncRNA from 1 species